rnacentral:sRNA from 1 species
GGUAACGAUUUCUUCUCUCUAAUCCAUUCUGCUCAAAUUAUACCCCGGGAAUGCAUCUGUUCUUGUCCAGAUGUGCAAAGAUUGGGAGGAAAGAUCCGUCUUCCCUUCGAAUUUGAUCACCGCGGCAUGAUUUCAAAGAUGUGAGAAGUUUUUUUGGGGGAAAGUAUGGGGGGGGGGAGUUGAUUCAGUCUUUCUGGGGGAUCUUUGAGUUCACUCGAAAAUUAGUGCGUUCCAUUCCUUCGUUCAUGUUUAAUUUCAGUACUCGGAUACUCAGUUUAUCACGAAAUUUAGUACUAUUUGUUGCCAGAAAAUUGCAAUAUUGGGACUGAAAGUCAGACUGUCAUCUGUUCCAUAGAUGAUAUCUUUAGGAAUUUUCAUGGGCUGCAACUGCAGAAAUGCUGAAGGCACACAGCAACUUGGAAGAGCAGUCUCUGUGUGUUUUUCUUUUUAUCUCUUAGAUUGAUUAUUGAGCAGUUCCACUCCGCAUGCUUGCUGACCCGACGCAUAAAAAAAAAUCAAAACUUUUGUGCUUGCUGUUGUUGUCCAUUGUCUCCAUGUGUAUUAUGUGUUGUUUUCUGGUAUAUAUGGACAAGGAGCUGAAUUGUUAGGCAAUGUCCAACUACAUGAAUAAAUCCACAAGUAAAGACAAGAACGAAUUCACAAAUGAAGACACGUGUUCAGUUGAAAGAUUGCACCGUGUGAACUGUUAACAGUUGAAUGUUCUCCAAACUCAAGAGAUGCCUGAUCAAAUAAUCCACCGGGUUGUUAUUUUCUGUUAUAGUUGAGGUUCCAAUGCUGUGAGAUAUCUGGCUUUCUAGUUUGGGAACUUUGCAGAUAAGUUUCUCAUUUGGUGUAUGGGAGCUUAUUUCUCAUCUUUAUUGUAUAAACGAAUUUAAAAAGACUAAUUAACCAGUAUGAAUAUGCUGCAUGAUGGCUGAUUGGUUUCCUUUAAAAGACCAUUUAUGUAGAAAAUACUAGUAUCAAAUUUAAGUGAUAUCAAAGUUGACAAAAUGACCACUUCAUAUAUGAAUAUCAGACAGAACCCCAUGCCUACUGCAACAUAUUUAGCAUUUUGAACUAAUUGUUACAGGAUGCUAAUGCAAACACUACUGGUGAUAAGUAAAACGAUAUCACUGGUUACAACCAAAGGAGUUGUUAAGUUCUGAUAUCGCACUCUCUAGUGUCGCUCGUGUCUUAUCUUUGCAUGUAAUAGGUCAAUGCAAACGUAAUAUCUGCCUUGUAGAGGCAUUACCUUGAUGCCGGUAGAUGUUAUGUUCAUUCUUCAUUGCUUAUUGAAAUGCUAUUUUCUAAAAACAGCACAAUGAUCUGUCACUGACUUGUUCUUCCAUCAUGUGCAGAUGUAGUGAAGAAGAUCUGCUACUUUGUUAUUCAAUCUCACUGACUUGCCACAUGCAACGAUCAUGGGCCUUAAUCCCCGCCAAAAAAUGUGGUGCUAGUGGGAGGGUUGGUGGAAGUAUCAUUGGCUUAUGAUGACAACUACGACACUACAAAUCAAUUUUCACAAUGAAUCUGCUCUUAAUUUAGUGAGAGCAACCAUGAGGACGAUGCUUCACAGGCAAGUGCUAUUGCUCUGCUAGCCUGCUACAUGCAGUUCCAAUUAAUGUGUAUCUCAAACCUUUACAGAACAUGUAUUAUUUAUGAGAAAAAGAUGUCCGCAUAUCCUUUCC